UAUGUGGAACUGGUGGACAUUGUAGCUCAGGAAUGAAACUCGAAGUCAACAUUCUUACCAAGGCUUCUCCACCCCCACCAGCCAAACCGGCUACUCCGCCUACAGCAACUCCCACAGCUCCACCACCAUCAAUCCCCGCAACUCCACCGCCAUCAACCCCCGCAACUCCACCGCCGCCAACCCCCACAACUCCACCAGCAUCAGCCCCUUCCACCACCCUAGUUGCUUCCCCUCCCUAGCUACUCCGCCGACAGCAACUCCCACAGCUCCACCACCAUCAACCCCCGCAACUCCACCGCCGUCAACCCCCACAACUCCACCAGCAUCAGCCCCUUCCACCACCCCAGUUGCUUCCCCUCCCUCUUCAUCACCAUCUCCCAAGUCUUCAUCAGCACCCUCAACAAAACAUGCACCUAAAAUUUCCCCUGCAUUGUCACCUUCCAAGUCCUCCCUUGCUCACAGCCCUGCAAUGCCUCCUGCUGGCAGUCCAACAGCCCCUACUGUUGAGGACGCUGCAUUGCCCCCUUCUGGCGCUUCUGCACCUACACCAUCUGCCCCGUCAUCAGCUGAUAAAAUCCGUGGCAUUACUGGUUCUAUAAUGGGAUUUGGCUUUGCUGUGAUGCUGAUGUUCUUUCUUUAAGCCUUCAAACAAUAUUUGAGGUGGUUAUCUUUUUUCGUUAUAUUGCUGAUUCACUUUAUAUUUUGUACCUGCUUUUCCUCAG
rnacentral:lncRNA from 1 species